rnacentral:rRNA from 1 species
AUGAACUUAGUCCUGAUAGUUUUUGCAUAUCUAUGUUGUAGAUCAAUGGCCCGUGCUACCGUUCCCUUGAAUUUUAAUGUGUUCCUAGAGAAAGCUAAGUUGAAAGAUGAUGGUAGCAACUACACGGACUGGGUCCAUAACUUGAGGAUUAUCCUCAUUGCUGCACAUAAGAAUUAUGUCCUUGAUGCACCGCUAGGUGAAAGGCCUGCUGCAGGAGCAGAUGCUGACAUUAUGAACGUCUGGCAAGGUCAAUCUGAUGACUACUCGAUAAUUAAGUGUGCCAUGCUUUACGGCUUAGAAUCGGGAUUUCAAAGAUGUUUUGAACGUCAUGGACCAUAUGAGAUGUUCUAG